rnacentral:rRNA from 1 species
GACGAACGCUGGCGGCGUGCCUAAUACAUGCAAGUAGAACGCUGAAGAAAGGAGCUUGCUUCUUUUGGAUGAGUUGCGAACGGGUGAGUAACGCGUAGGUAACCUGCCUUGUAGCGGGGGAUAACUAUUGGAAACGAUAGCUAAUACCGCAUAACAGCUUUUGACACAUGUUAGAAGCUUGAAAGAUGCAAUUGCAUCACUACGAGAUGGACCUGCGUUGUAUUAGCUAGUUGGUGGGUAACGGCCCACCAAGGCGACGAUCAGUAGCCGGCCUGAGAGGGUGAACGGCCACAUUGGAACUGAGACACGGCCCAAACUCCUACGGGAGGCAGCAGUGGGGAAUAUUGCACAAUGGAGGAAACUACUGAUGCAGCGACGCCGCGUGAGCGAUGAAGUAUUUCGGUAUGUAAAGCUCUAUCAGCAGGGAAGAUAAAUGACGGUACCUGAGUAAGAAGACUCCGGCUAAAUACGUGCCAGCAGCCGACGG